GUGAAUCAUCGAAUCUUUGAACGCAAAUUGCACUUUCUGGUAUUCCGGGGAGUAUGCCUGUUUGAGGGUCAGUUAAAUAAAAAUCGGUGUUGUUGCGGCCUUUGGUGGUGACGCGUCGGAUUUGAAUCGUCUUACCUUCGGUGAAGUGACUGAAAAUUUUGGCAUGAUGUUCGAGCGUGUUUAAAUCGUUUACGUACGUGUGAUAUAGCGAAUGAU
rnacentral:misc_RNA from 1 species